UACGAAGGGGGCUAGCGUUGCUCGGAAUCACUGGGCGUAAAGGGUGCGUAGGCGGGUCUUUAAGUCAGGGGUGAAAUCCUGGAGCUCAACUCCAGAACUGCCUUUGGUACUGAAGAUCUUGAGUUCGGGAGAGGUGAGUGGAACUGCGAGUGUAGAGGUGAAAUUCGUAGAUAUUCGCAAGAACACCAGUGGCGAAGGCGGCUCACUGGCCCGGUACUGACGCUGAGGUGCGAAAGCGUGGGGAGCAAACAGG
rnacentral:rRNA from 1 species